GGACGGGUGCGACGAAUGGUAAGUCAGCAGAUUGCUAAUCUGUAGCCGUUUAAAAGCGGCUUGUGGGUUCGAGUCCCACCCCGUCCG
rnacentral:tRNA from 1 species